ACUCAUCAGUGAGGCUGCUGACUGGAAAAAUAUGUUUGCUCCAUAAUUAAAAAUGUGAAUGUACUUUGUGGCAUUUCUACCUUUGUUUUGACAUUCUUUUGUUUCUGAGGAACCUUUCAGUGCACGACCUGGAGGGUAAUUGUUAAUGAUUCAUACCACAGGGAGGGAGAUAUAAAAAAAACAGCUUUUAGCGUCUGAAUGAUUCAUAACCAGUAAAAAGCUGCAGCUGGUGGGAAUUCUUUUAGAAAACUGCUCAGGUUUGAUCCCUGAAGUUACAGUUGUAUUUACAGCAUAUCCUCUGGUCAUUUAAGCAACUGGUUGAAUUGCAGCAAACCUCCAACUCAAUCCAGACUGGUUACACUGGGGAGACUGUGUGCUUCUAUUGCCCCAGGAUAUUGCUGUAAAUACACGCCUGGUUAAAGAGGGUCAGAAAAAAAGGAACUAGAGAUGUGUAUCUGGCUCUUUUUAUUGUGAACCGCAUGUAGAAUUUGAACGGAGAGCAGUCGUCAAGAACAGAAGGUACUGGAUGUACCUACAGUGUGUGUACCUAUACCUUUGUCCGUACCAGUAAAAAUUCCCCAUGUCCCUCCAGCAACACAGACCUGGUGGAUCUGUUCAUAGUGGGAAUGAGCAUUGUGGCGUCUCACUAUCAGUAAUCAGAAAGUGUCAGUGCUGAGGUAAUGGAAGGAUGGUGCGACUAGUUACAACAGGCAGCAGUAUCAUCAACCAUGUCUGAUCAAAGUAAAAAAAAAAAAAAGUGAACUUAAUUAACACCGCUCCGAAACACUGCCCACAUGUGUGAUGUUGCUACAACAGGAAACUGAAAAGCAGAAAAAUAUUGCCAGAAAUGGCGCUUACCUUACACGGUUUUGUGCGUCAAGAAAUAAAAAAUAAUCCGGUCUUCAGCAGGUCUUAAAAUUAGGCAUCAGAUGAAAAACAGCACGUGCUUAACUAACUGAAGCCUUUCAAUGAACUACCAAAUAAACAAAUUGAUACUCUCUUUCCGCCCAGACACGUGGCAGCACUUCUGCUAGAAAUUUUUUCUUAUUAAAAAAAAUAAAAAUCCAGACAUACGAAUCCUACCUAACAAAAAAUGUAACUUCAAGGGCCAAACUUCAUUAUAUUUCUUCACAUCAAGUAGAGGUGACUUGGGCCGCAAGUGGCCCCCGGGCCGCGAGUUUGAGACCCCUGGGUUAUAAGACUAUUUCUAAACAAUCUGAAGACCAUCAUUCUUGAGUGGGAGAAGUAAUUUUCCCACUCAAGAAUCUACACGCCUGCAGGCAUCACUCACAAUGUUAAAUGUUAAAGUUCAUGACAGCACAAUGAGAAAAACACUGAACAAGUUU
ensembl:lncRNA